rnacentral:lncRNA from 1 species
GAUGGAUGGAUGGAUAAAGAAAGUGCAGGGCUGGUAUUCUGCUCAGCUGCAGUUGCUUUAUAAUGCAAUUAGAGAGCUCCUGGAAGCACUAAUUGGAUCAUAAAGUGCCUUCUUCAUGUUCCAGCUGAGGAGAGAGGAAAAAAGGAUCACUUCACGUCCUCUUUGCACCUGCUAAGAUGUUUGUGAAACACCUUACAAUUAAAUUAUAAGCACCUAGAGGAGACUUUAAAUUGCAUACUAGAGAGCUAGAACCUUGACACAGACAUCAGAAUUCACAAACUGAAAGCUUACAAAAGCCUCAUAUCCACCUUCUGGUACUUUUCUACCUCCUGAGGUGGAAAGAGACCUUUGUUUUCCAUUGCCUUGAGUUCUUAAUAUUCCCUCUCAAAACAUUGGUCUAAGUAUAUCCUGAGCUAACAGCAA